CAAAAACAUGUCUUUUUGAUUAUAAUUUAAAGUCUUGCCUGCCCAAUGAUUAUUUUAAUGGCCGCAGUAUUUUGACUGUGCAAAGGUAGCAUAAUCAUUAGUUUUUUAAUUGAAAGCUGGAAUGAAUGGUUUGAUGAGAAAUAGACUGUCUCUUUAUAAAUUUUUUAUAAUUUUAAUUUUAAGUGAAAAAGCUUAAAUUUUAUAUAAAGACGAGAAGACCCUAUAGAGUUUAAUAUUAGAUUUAUUUAAUUGAUUUUAGGUUUAUUUUCAUAUAAUUAGAUUUAUUAUUUUGUUGGGGUGAUAUAAAAAUUGAAUAAACUUUUUAUUUAUUUUAACAUUUAUUUAUGAAUAUUUGAUCCUUAUUUUAGGAUUAUAAGAUAAAAUUACCUUAGGGAUAACAGCGUAAUUUUUUUUAAGAGUUCUUAUCAAUAAAAAAGUUUGCGACCUCGAUGUUGGAUUAAAAUUUAUUUCUGGUGCAGAAGCUGGAAUAUUAGGUCUGUUCGACCUUUAAAAUUUUACAUGAUCU
rnacentral:rRNA from 1 species